rnacentral:rRNA from 1 species
UGCCAGCCGCCGCGGUAAGACGGAGGUGGCAAACGCUGUUCGGAAUCACUGGGCUUAAAGCGCGCGUAGGCGGCUAUUUAAGUCAGAUGUGAAAGUCCACGGCUCAACCGUGGAAGUGCAUUUGAAACUGGAUGGCUUGAGUACUGGAGGGGGCGGUGGAAUUCCCGGUGUAGAGGUGAAAUUCGUAGAUAUCGGGAGGAAUACCGGUGGCGAAGGCGACCACCUGGCCAGAUACUGACGCUGAGGUGCGAAAGCGUGGGGAGCAAACAGGAUUAGAUA